GAACCACAGAGUUUCGAAACCAUCUUUGACUGAACUGUGUUCUUGCUCUACAUAGACAUUUGAUUAUCGUACAAAUACUGUAAUUAAUUUGCCAUUCAAGCUGUAUUAUGUUGCCCCUGAAGGAGAAAGAUAGACCAAUAGUGAAGAAGCUGCUGGAAGCUGGAUGCUGUGCCCGCUGUGUCCUGAGGUUCUGCUGCUUGGGGGUGCAGUCAGCCUACCGCCAGUCUUAUGAGGAUACAGCAAAGGAGCUUUGUGCUUUCAUCAGUGAUUCAGAGAAUAACAAAUCCCAAGAUGCAGCCGUGCUGGAGCAGCACACAGAAGACCCCCCUCGUAAAAAAAUUAAGAUGGAUGCGGCGGAGACGGGCGUCCAAUCAGAAGGCGACUCUGCCGUGGUUCCCGCGGUGAUGGAGGAAGGCGACGCCAAGCCAGCGGACUCGGACGUGUGUGCGGUGUGCCUGGGAGUUCUACAGGAGUUCUGUGAUGAAGCCUAUGCCAUAAAGAUAUCGGAUGUGGUGAAGGUCAAAAACUACCAGUUUGACACGAUGGUACUGUCCGUCUCCCUGACGGCCCAGCUGUCUGUCAGAGAGCACUCUUGUUGGCUGCAUGUAAAGAAGGAAGUGAGGGAGAAGUCUAUAUGCCUCGAUAAGGAUGAUGUCAUCCAGGUGAAGGAGGCCUUCAAGUGGACCAUGCAGGGUCUGAUGUCCAAAGAGCUUGGUGGCGUACCUGUGGUGACCAAGAUCAGUCGUCAAACUGAACAGUUUGAGGUGGGCGUGGGGUUCACACAUCCAGAGACGGACUCAGACUGCCACUUCCUGGCUGGCAUCUGUUCAGACUGCUUCAGACCAAGUAAGAACAAACAGAAUGUCUUCACUAGAAUGGCCGUGGUCAAAGCCCUCGAGAAGGUUUCCGAUGAGAAGUUUCUAAAAAAGUUCCCCUGUCCCCCUACACGGCCAGCGAGGAAAUGCAUUGCUCAAGAGGUCCAGUGUCUUCACGUUUCUGUAUUUGUGGCGGGGAGGUACAACAAGUUCUCCCGCACCCUGCCCCAGACCCCCUGGGUGAUUGACGGAGAGAGGAGGAUGGAGUCGUCGGUGGAGGAGCUAAUCGCCGCAUCCCUCUUCUCCUCUUUCCGGGCUGAGGGGUUUAAUUUCUCCUCCUCAGGGAGGGAGGAGGUGGAUGUGCGGACGCUUGGAAAUGGUCGUCCGUUUGCACUGGAGCUGCUAAAUCCUCACAGAGCCAGGUUCAAUAAGGCAGAGGUCCGACAGCUGCAGGAGACCAUCAACCAGUCCUCAGACAAAAUCAGAGUACGAGAUCUACAGAUUGUAAGCAGAGAUGCUAUGGGCCACAUGAAGGAGGGUGAGGAGGACAAGACCAAGUCGUACACCGCCCUCAUAUGGACCCAGAAAGCCAUCAACAAAGACGACAUCACGUUCUUAGAGGAAACCAAGGAGUUGAAGCUAGCUCAGAAGACGCCACUAAGAGUGUAGCAUCGCAGGCCGCUGGCCGUCAGGGAGCGCGUCAUCCACACCAUGAGUACAUGCUUCCUGGACACGCAUCACUUCCACCUGAAGCUGCGCACGCAGGCAGGGACUUACAUCAAGGAGUUUGUCCACGGAGACUUUGGUCGCACCAAGCCCAAUCUGUGUGAUCUGCUGAAGACUGAGACGGAUAUCCUAGAGCUGGACGUUGAUUCUGUAGAUGUGGACUGGCCACCCUCCAUCCCGGAGUGAGCCUCGUCUCACUGAUGCUGUUGAGGAUGCCAAAAGGAGUCCUAGUUCUUUCUGAUGGGCCAUACCGUCACCUAUUGGGCUCCGUUCCACUGAUGUCUAGAUGAUAUGGAUAG